rnacentral:tRNA from 1 species
UCCCUGGUGGUCCAGUGAUUUGAACUUUGUGCUUUCACUGCUGUGGGCCUAGGUUCGAUCCCUGGUCAGGGAA